AAGAUGGCGACCGGCGCACGGGUGAGUAACACGUAUCCAACCUGCCGAUAACUCUGGAAUAGCCUUUCGAAAGAAAGAUUAAUACCGGAUGGCAUACGAAUAUCGCAUGAUAUUUUUAUUAAAGAAUUUCGGUUAUCGAUGGGGAUGUGUUCCAUUAGUUUGUUGGCGGGGUAACGGCCCACCAAGACAACGAUGGAUAGGGGUUCUGAGAGGAAGGUCCCCCACAUUGGAACUGAGACACGGUCCAA
rnacentral:rRNA from 1 species